rnacentral:lncRNA from 1 species
UGGUUAAAAUAUAUGCAAAUAAGCUUGUACUCAUCCAUGUUGACAAAAUAAAGAUGGCAUUAUCGCCUAGUUAGUUGUUAUUGAAAAUCCCCAUAAGAUAUAUGCUUCUAUAGGUUUUGUUAAAUUUUGCUAUGUUCCUUACCGUAGUGCCACUAUAUAUGAUAGUGCUAUCAUUUUGUGCAACAAAUUAUCUAGGAUAUGAUGGUUG